rnacentral:tRNA from 1 species
CCCCGCCGGGGGUCUCGGUGAACAGGACGUCCCGGCGGAUGCGCGGGCGGGUCCCGGCGAGCGCGUCGAAGGCUCCGGUUCCGUUUCCGGUGGCGGCGG